GACGAACGCUGGCGGCGUGCCUAAUACAUGCAAGUAGGACGCAGUUGCGAACGGGUUAGUAACGCGUACGUACCUGCCAAUUAGUGGGGGAUAACGAUUGGAAACGAUAGUUAAUACCGCAUACUAGUAGAUGGACUUGCGUUGUAUUAGCUAGUAGGUAGGGUAAAGGCCUACCUAGGCAACGAUACAUAGCCGCACUGAGAGGGUGAUCGGCCACACUGGGACGGAGACCCGGCCCAGACUCCUACGGGAGGCAGCAGUAGGGCAACUGCGGCAAUGGGGGGAAACUUGACCGAGCAACGCCGCGCGAGUGAAGAAGGUUUGCGGAUCGUAAAGCUCUGUUGUCAAGGAAGCGGUACUUAACCAGAAAGGGACGGCUAACUACGUGCCAGCAGCCGCGGUAAUUC
rnacentral:rRNA from 1 species